rnacentral:rRNA from 1 species
UACGGGGGGGGCAAGCGUUGUUCGGAAUUACUGGGCGUAAAGGGCUCGUAGGCGGCCAACUAAGUCAGACGUGAAAUCCCCAGGCUUAACCUGGGAACUGCGUCUGAUACUGGAUGGCUUGAAUUCGGGAGAGGGAUGCAGAAUUCCAGGUGUAGCGGUGAAAUGCGUAGAUAUCUGGAGGAAUACCGGUGGCGAAGGCGGCAUCCUGGACCGACAUUGACGCUGAGGAGCGAAAGCUAGAGGAGCAAACGGG